rnacentral:rRNA from 1 species
UACGUAGGAGGCAAGCGUUGUCCGGAGUACUGGGCGUAAAGCGCACGCAGGCGGUCUCUUAAGUUUGGUAGGGACAGGGCACAGCUCAACUGUGUCAGGCUUACGAAAAGCUGGGAGACUUGGAGGGCUUCAGAGGGAUGGGGAAUUCCGGGUGGAGUGGUGAAAUGCGUAGAGAGUCCGGAAGAACACCAGUGGCGGAAGGCGGCCCGCUGGGCAGUGGCUGACGCUGGAGGCGCGACAGCGUGGG